UACGUAGGGCGCAAGCGUUGUCCGGAAUUAUUGGGCGUAAAGAGCUCGUAGGCGGCUUAGUAAGUCGGCGGUGAAAUACCGAGGCUCAACCUCGGCACUGCCGUCGAUACUGCUAUGGCUAGAGUUUGGUAGAGGAGAACGGAAUUCCGGGUGUAGUGGUGGAAUGCGUAGAGAUCCGGAGGAACACCAGCGGCGAAGGCGGCAUCCUGGACUGGUCCUGACACUCAGGAGCGAAAGCGUGGGGAGCGAGUCCGG
rnacentral:rRNA from 1 species